UACGGAGGAUCCAAGCGUUAUCCGGAUUUAUUGGGUUUAAAGGGUGCGUAGGCGGCAGAUUAAGUUAGAGGUGAAAUUCCGAGGCUCAACCUUGGCACUGCCUCUGAUACUGGUUUGCUAGCGAGUAGAUGCUGUAGGCGGAAUGUGUGGUGUAGCGGUGAAAUGCAUAGAUAUCACACAGAACACCGAUUGCGAAGGCAUCUGACGAAUCGGAGAUUGACGCUGAUGCACGAAAGCGUGGGUAUCGAACAGG
rnacentral:rRNA from 1 species